GAUGAACGCUGGCGGCGUGCCUAAUACAUGCAAGUCGAACGAAACUUCUUUAUCACCGAGUGCUUGCACUCACCGAUACAGAGUUGAGUGGCGAACGGGUGAGUAACACGUGGGCAACCUGCCCAAAAGAGGGGGAUAACACUUGGAAACAGGUGCUAAUACCGCAUAACCAUAGUUACCGCAUGGUAACUAUGUAAAAGGUGGCUAUACUACCGCUUUUGGAUGGGCCCGCGGCGCAUUAGCUAGUUGGUAGGGUAAAGGCUUACCAAGGCAAUGAUGCGUAGCCGAAUUGAGAGGUUGAUCGGCCACAUUGGGACUGAGACACGGCCCAAACUCCUACGGGAGGCAGCAGUAGGGAAUCUUCCACAAUCGGCGAAAGCCUGAUGGAGCAACGCCGCGUGGGUGAAGAAGGUCUUCGGAUCGUAAAACCCUGUUGUUAGAGAAGAAAGUGCGUGAGAGUAACUGUUCACGUUUCGACGGUAUCUAACCAGAAAGCCACGGCUAACUACGUG
rnacentral:rRNA from 1 species